AUCGGGCUAGCUCAAUUGGUAGAGCGUGAGCGUGAGACACUUAAUCUCAAGGCUGGGGGUUCGAGCGCCCCGUUCGGCU